UACAGAGGUCUCAAGCGUUGUUCGGAUUUAUUGGGCGUAAAGGGCGCGUAGGCGGCGGGGUAAGUCGGGUGUGAAAUCUCAGGGCUCAACCCUGAAACUGCACUUGAUACUGCUCUGCUUGAGGACUGGAGAGGAGACUGGAAUUCACGGUGUAGCAGUGAAAUGCGUAGAGAUCAUGAGGAAGACCAGUGGCGAAGGCGGGUCUCUGGACAGUUCCUGACACUGAGACACGAAGGCCAGGGGAGCAAACGGG
rnacentral:rRNA from 1 species